rnacentral:rRNA from 1 species
GGGUAUUGAUCCCUGCUGUGCCGAAGCUAACGCAUUAAGUUCCCCGCCUGGGGAGUACGGUCGCAAGGCUAAAACUCAAAGGAAUUGUCGGGGGCCCGCACAAGCGGUGGAGCAUGUGGUUCAAUUCGAUGCAACGCGAAAAACCUUACCUGGGUUUGACAUCCUUUGACAGUCCCUGAAAGGGGAUCUUCCCGAUUUAUCGGGACAAAGUGACAGGUGCUGCAUGGCUGUCGUCAGCUCGUGUCGUGAGAUGUUGGGUUAAGUCCCGCAACGAGCGCAACCCUUGUUUUUAGUUGCCAAUAUUAAGUUAGGCACUCUAAUGAUACUGCCCCGGUUAACGGGGAGGAAGGUGGGGAUGACGUCAAGUCCUCAUGGCCUUUAUACCCAGGGCUACACACGUGCUACAAUGGGCUAUACAAAGGGCUGCCACUCUGCAAAGAGGAGCUAAUCCCAAAAAGUAGUCCUAAGUUCGGAUUGGAGUCUGCAACUCGACUCCAUGAAGCGUGGAA